AUUAAUAAAUGAGCCUGUGACCCAAAUUGCCUUUCUCGCUUCCAUCUUCCCCACCUGCGAAACAAUUUUCUUGUUCUUCUUCACAGUUCACAGAACUGAAAUCGGACUCCGGCGAACUCCAGUGGCACCAAUACUGAUCUGGUGAGGGAAUUCUUUGUUUUGGCUGAAAAUCUUUUGGGAGGUAUCUCUCCAGUUAUGCUUUCUUUUGUUUUCAAAUUUGGUUAUGCCGAAACUGAUUUUGUGGAAAAGAUAAAGAUAAAAUCUUGAAGAUAAAGUUUGGAUAACAACCUUGAGGAAAAAGAUAGAAACAAAUCAACAAGAAGUUGGAGCCGAAAGAAAAGACUAUAUAAGGACGACAAAAGGAACAAAGGAAGUACAGAAAAAGAGAUAUCCAUUCCGAGAGUAUCAAGAUCCCGAGGAGCACGAGUAGCGCACUUUGGACGGCGACGACUUGUGAAGGCAUCAUUUGUGUACGGAUAAAUAAUCUUAUUUUGUACGUUUUGGUUUGUGGAAACGGUUGUGUUUAAUUGUGUGUUUGGACAAGUGUUGUUUUUGAGAAACGUGUGAUGAUCUUAUUCCGCUGCGUGUUUGUAUUUAAAAACGAUUUUAAAUUUCCGUACUUUUGGUUU